GAUGAACGCUAGCGGGAGGCCUAACACAUGCAAGCCGAGCGGUAUAGAAUCUUCGGAUUUUAGAGAGCGGCGUACGGGUGCGGAACACGUGUGCAACCUACCUUUAUCUUGGGGAUAGCCUUUCGAAAGGAAGAUUAAAUACCCGAUAAUAUAUAAUAUGGCAUCAUAACAUAUUGAAAGCUCCGGCGGAUAGAGAUGGGCACGCGCAAGAUUAGUUAGUUGGUGAGGUAACGGCUCACCAAGACGAUGAUCUUUAGGGGCCUGAGAGGUGAUCCCCCACACUGGUACUGAGACACGGACCAGACUCCUACGGGAGGCAGCAGUGAGGAAUAUUGGACAAUGGGUGCAAGCCUGAUCCAGCCAUCCCGCGUGAAGGACGACUGCCCUAUGGGUUGUAAACUUCUUUGUAUAGGGAUAAACCUCUCCUCGUGAGGAGAGCUGAAGGUACUAUACGAAUAAGCACCGGCUAACUCCGUGCCAGCAGCCG
rnacentral:rRNA from 1 species